GAGUUUUGGACAAUGGUCGAAAGCCUGAUCCAGCAAUGCCGCGUGCAGGAUGACGGCCUUCGGGUUGUAAACUGCUUUUGUACGGAACGAAAAGCUUUGGGUUAAUACCCUGGAGUCAUGACGGUACCGUAAGAACACGCACCGGCUACCUCCGUGCCAGCCGCCGCGGUAAUACGUAGGGUGCAAGCGGUAAUCGGAAUUACUGGGCGUAAAGCGUGCGCAGGCGGCUUUGUAAGACAGAGGUGAAAUCCCCGGGCGAAACCUGGGAACUGCCUUUGUGACUGCAAGGCUAGAGUACGGCAGAGGGGGGUGGAAUUCCGCGUGUAGCAGUGAAAUGCGUAGAUAUGCGGAGGAACACCGAUGGCGAAGGCAACCCCCUGGGCCUGUACUGACGCUCAUGCACGAAAGCGUGGGGAGCAAACAGG
rnacentral:rRNA from 1 species